rnacentral:rRNA from 1 species
AUUGAACGCUGGCGGCAGGCCUAACACAUGCAAGUCGAACGGUAACAGGAAGCAGCUUGCUGCUUUGCUGACGAGUGGCGGACGGGUGAGUAAUGUCUGGGAAACUGCCUGAUGGAGGGGGAUAACUACUGGAAACGGUAGCUAAUACCGCAUAACGUCGCAAGACCAAAGAGGGGGACCUUCGGGCCUCUUGCCAUCGGAUGUGCCCAGAUGGGAUUAGCUAGUAGGUGGGGUAACGGCUCACCUAGGCGACGAUCCCUAGCUGGUCUGAGAGGAUGACCAGCCACACUGGAACUGAGACACGGUCCAGACUCCUAAGGGAGGCAGCAGUGGGGAAUAUUGCACAAUGGGCGCAAGCCUGAUGCAGCCAUGCCGCGUGUAUGAAGAAGGCCUUCGGGUUGUAAAGUACUUUCAGCGGGGAGGAAGGGAGUAAAGUUAAUACCUUUGCUCAUUGACGUUACCCGCAGAAGAAGCACCGGCUAACUCCGU